AACACAAGUCUCACAGCUUCACGCUGAUAGCAGAAGCUGCAGAAACCUACAAGGAUCAGGUGAAAUCUUCCAUCCAGUCACUCACAAAUGAGAAAUCAGGGAUCCAGCAAAUGGAGCAGGAACAGAAACAGAAGAUUUCUGGAGUUCUGGAACAGUCACACAACCUUCAGUCCAAGAUUGCAUCCCAGUAUGCUGAACU